ACGCUUGGAGUCAGUCGCGUUGGCCGGAAAUCAACCCUGCUUCUGCUGGGUGUACUUUCUGGUCGACGGGCCAGCAUCAGUUUUGAUCGAUGGAAAAAGUCUAGGGGAAUGUGGCACCUCCGGGUGUGUUAUAGCCCCUGGUCGUAUACAUCGGUUGGGACUGAGGAAUUCAGCACGCCGAAAGGCCGGGUUUCGACCACGUUCGUGCUUAGGAUGCUGGCAUAAUGGCUUUAAUCGACCCGUCUUGAAACACGGACCAAGGAGUC
rnacentral:rRNA from 1 species